CCUACGGGGGGCUGCAGUGGGGAAUAUUGGACAAUGGGGGAAACCCUGAUCCAGCAAUGCCGCGUGUGUGAAGAAGGCCUGCGGGUUGUAAAGCACUUUCGGUUUGGAAGAAAAGUUUGGCGCCAAUACCGCCGAACCUUGACGUUACUGACAGAAGAAGCACCGGCUAACUCUGUGCCAGCAGCCGCGGUAAUACAUACGGUGCAACCGUUAAUCGGACUCACGUAGGUGAACACGUGCGUCGGGUGUGAAAUCCCCGGGCUUAACCUGGGAACUGCAUUCGAUACUACAUGGCUAGAGUAUGGUAGAGGGAAGUGGAAUUUCCGGUGUAGCGGUGAAAUGCGUAGAUAUCGGAAGGAACACCAAUGGCGAAGGCAGCUUCCUGGACUAAUACUGACACUGAGGCACGAAAGCGUGGGUAGCAAACAGGAUUAGAUACCCCUGUAGUC
rnacentral:rRNA from 1 species